rnacentral:rRNA from 1 species
CUCCUACGGGAGGCAGCAGUGAGGAAUAUUGGUCAAUGGACGAGAGUCUGAACCAGCCAAGUAGCGUGCAGGAAGACGGCCUUAUGGGUUGUAAACUGCUUUUAUAAGGGAAUAAAGUGAGUCUCGUGAGACUUUUUGCAUGUACCUUAUGAAUAAGGACCGGCUAAUUCCGUGCCAGCAGCCGCGGUAAUACGGAAGGUCCGGGCGUUAUCCGGAUUUAUUGGGUUUAAAGGGAGCGUAGGCCGGAGAUUAAGCGUGUUGUGAAAUGUAGACGCUCAACGUCUGCACUGCAGCGCGAACUGGUUUCCUUGAGUACGCACAAAGUGGGCGGAAUUCGUGGUGUAGCGGUGAAAUGCUUAGAUAUCACGAAGAACUCCGAUUGCGAAGGCAGCUCACUGGAGCGCAACUGACGCUGAAGCUCGAAAGUGCGGGUAUCGAACAGGAUUAGAUACCCUGGUAGUCCGCACGGUAAACGAUGGAUGCCCGCUGUUGGUCUGAAUAGGUCAGCGGCCAAGCGAAAGCAUUAAGCAUCCCACCUGGGGAGUACGCCGGCAACGGUGAAACUCAAAGGAAUUGACGGGGGCCCGCACAAGCGGAGGAACAUGUGGUUUAAUUCGAUGAUACGCGAGGAACCUUACCCGGGCUUGAAUUGCAGAGGAAGGAUUUGGAGACAAUGACGCCCUUCGGGGCCUCUGUGAAGGUGCUGCAUGGUUGUCGUCAGCUCGUGCCGUGAGGUGUCGGCUUAAGUGCCAUAACGAGCGCAACCCCUCUCCUUAGUUGCCAUCAGGUCAUGCUGGGCACUCUGGGGACACUGCCACCGUAAGGUGUGAGGAAGGUGGGGAUGACGUCAAAUCAGCACGGCCCUUACGUCCGGGGCUACACACGUGUUACAAUGGCAGGUACAGAGAGAUGGUCCCUUGCAAAAUGGAUCAAAUCCUUAAAGCCUGUCUCAGUUCGGACUGGGGUCUGCAACCCGACCCCACGAAGCUGGAUUCGCUAGUAAUCGCGCAUCAGCCAUGGCGCGGUGAAUACGUUCCCGGGCCUUGUACACACCGC